rnacentral:rRNA from 1 species
GGUGCGCCUUAUGCAUGCAAGUCGAGCGAAGCUUUUCAGUAGUUUACUACAGAAAAUGACUGAGCGGCGAACGGGUGAGUAACGCGUGAGCAACCUACCUUAGUUACUGGGAUAGCCCGAGGAAACUCGGAUUAAUACCGGAUAUUCUUAUUUAAUCACAUGAUUUUUUAAGGAAAGGUCAGCCGAACUAAGAUGGGCUCGCGUUCUAUCAGCUAGUUGGUAGGGUAAUGGCCUACCAAGGCUACGACGGAUAGCUGGUCUGAGAGGACGAUCAGCCACACUGGGACUGAGACACGGCCCAGACUCCUACGGGAGGCUGCAGCAGGGAAUAUUGCGCAAUGAGCGAAAGCUUGACGCAGCGACACCGCGUGUGGGAUGACGGAUCUAGGUUUGUAAACCACUUUCAGGAGGGAAGAAAAUGACGGUACCUCCACAAGAAGCCCCGGCCAACUACG